CAAUUGCUUUGGCAUCACUGAAACAAUGAUCAGUUCCAUUUCAAGCAAAUAUACCAGUAAAAGAAAUCAUCCUCAGAAUACAUCUGUUCUAAACAGUUCAGAUAAAGAAAAUCUGUGGUCUUUUUCUUUUACAGAAAGAACCACCAAGUAUAAAAAAACUAAGAAGACUACAUUUCAGCCCAAG